rnacentral:ribozyme from 1 species
AAAGAUUUAAGAGCCAUCUUUCUUCUUUCUUUUUUCUUUUUUUCUUUUUUUU